rnacentral:misc_RNA from 1 species
AUACGCCCCGUGUCUGAGGAGGAGGUUUUCGAUAUUGACUCGAAAGGCAAUAAUCAUGCUAUGAGCUCUUUGUAUGGCGGAGGACACCUUGUGUUUACUACGCAUUUGUCUUUGGCUUUUAGUAUUGUAUUGUUCUAUUAUAUGUACCCUAUUGAGUGGCUGCGGUUGUAGAUUUUCAGUGCAAUAUUUCCAAGAUUAUUUAUGUAUUUCAAUAAUAAUUUUUGAUUGCUUAAUGUUUGAUUUCUAAACAAAAUGAAUUAUUUAUUUUCAAAAACAUGUAUGUGACAAUAUUGACACUUAUACUAAAUUUGUAAACAUGUAACACUUAGAGACAGUCUUGCAGAUGACUAAAUGUAAAUGGUUGCAAUAAUUAUGUUAUUUAAUGUUAUACUGUAUAUGUAUAUAGUUACUACGUUUUAACAGUUCUAGAGUUGAUUGUACUAUAUUUCACACGAUUAUUUUGGUAUGUCUUAUAAUAGCGUGUACUAUAGAAGAAGUGGACAUAACGCAUUAAUUGCAAAGACAGGGAAGAUGAAAAAAUAACAAAAGCAAAUAUUUUCACAUAAAAGCUACGGAUUAGUUCAUUUGAUUUUAUCAAAAAAAUAACAACGUAAUUAUCCUGUGGUGAGCCUUAAUGAACCUUAUCUCAAUGGACUUAACAAUAUAACCAGUAUAGCUUAGCGGAUAUAAAUAUAUCUUAAAAGGACUACAGUAUCUGUCCAAAUUCCUGUACAGACUGACCAAAACAAAGCGGUUACAUGCACCGAUAUGAAAACCAUGGGCAUUAUAUACAUGUAGUUUCGUUCCAAAAGAUACAUUUAUUGUGUAAAAUUUGUACAGUAAUAUUUGUGUAAACAUGUUCCUUUUUUUGAGGCUCGGGAUCUGAUAUUAUCCCUAAGUUACUGGUCAUCUCUGACAAGAAUGUAUAUAUUGUUUUUAUUGUUGUUUGUGUUAUGUAUGUAUGCAAUUCGUUUGUGACUAUUAUAUUAUAUCAUAUCAUCCAGGGUU